UGGACAGGCUGCUGGAGAAACCUGUGAAGACCAAAAAGAAGAAACCACCACCUCGGGGGAGAGAGGACCCAGGGCAGUCCAACGAUGAUGGCCUUGCCCCCAUAGACCAUACCACAGGAACACGCAGCAGCAAAAGGCUGGGCCAGCAGGCCAGCGAAGAUGUGAAAGAAAAGAAGCGACUUGUAGUUCAAGACGAGCCGAGGACGACCCUAAGGCCCUGACUCUGCUGGGCCCCAUGCUUCCCUUCGUGGCCGCAGCCCGUGUGACUGGGGGACCAGAGGGAGAGGCCAGUUGGAAGAAGGGAGUAGGGAAGGGGAGCCACUGGCCUGAGAAAGUGCAAGUGGUGGCCUCAUUGUCACUUGGGACGAUGGGGGCUGUGGCAAUUUGUCUCUGCCAGCAUAGCAUUUCACUCGGGUUCUGCCCUGGUAUAGUUCCCUUCCUUCCUCAGGAGGGUCCCCAGCCAGACAGUGUCCUGUCACUCAGGUGUCAUCUGGUUAGAUCCCUGGGUCCCUGUCCCCCAGCCUCUCAUGAAAUCCUGUUGGGUGGGAUCUCAGCACCUUUGGUGUUUUCUGGACCUGAAGCCACUGUCCCUGCCCCCUCUAUCUCCCCAUGUCCUCCUCCUGCCUCUUGCUUUGGCUGCCAGUGUCCCAUCUAGGUACCAACUCCUGGCCUUGUUUCUGUCAUUUGGCUUAACUAGCAAGGGCCGUCUGCGUCUCUAGCAGGUGUCCCUGGCACAGACCAUAACAUCCCUGAUCCACAGGCCUGUCCUAAGCCACUGGGGACUUAGGGACCUGUCACCUGCCACAGGACCUCCUCCUUGGGCACUGAGGACAUGGGAAGCUGGCUCUACCCUCAGGCUUCACUGGGGAGUGGAACCUUCCCAGUAGCCAGCAUUCCAUGCCCUGAGGAGAGGUCCCUGGCUCCUCCUCAGGCUCCUCCUGAGGGAUGGUGAGAAUGUUCCAGACGCUUCCAUACCAGCCAUAUAAGUACAACAGCCCAGAGGUCUUUCUCACGCCCAGGGAAAUCCCCUUCCGUCAGCAUCAAGGAUCCCCAGUCAGCACUGGGCAUUUUGGGUAUGAUCACUCCUUGUUUGGGUGUGAAAGCUGCUGAUACCGAAGAUGGAGUCUCAUUUCAGAUCCAGACCCACAUGGAGCCAGGACUCUGGGGUCUGCAUGUGCUGGCACAUUUGAGGUGAGAACUCUCACUUAGACUGGAGGCACAGCUUCAGAUGAGCUGCUGGGUCCCCCGAGGGGUGUGUGAGGCCCAGGCCAGCCUCUGACUGGGACUUGGGUAAAGCAAAGCAUGAUUUCCUUUCCCCCUUGCCUUAACCUCCUUGUGUAGAUCUCUGAUGAUCAGUCCCCAGC